GAUGAACGCUGGCAGCGUGCCUAAUACAUGCAAGUCGAGCGAACGGACGAGAAGCUUGCUUCUCUGAUGUUAGCGGCGGACGGGUGAGUAACACGUGGAUAACUUACCUAUAAGACUGGGAUAACUUCGGGAAACCGGAGCUAAUACCGGAUAAUAUUUUGAACCGCAUGGUUCAAAAGUGAAAGACGGUCUUGCUGUCACUUAUAGAUGGAUCCGCGCUGCAUUAGCUAGUUGGUAAGGUAACGGCUUACCAAGGCAACGAUGCAUAGCCGACCUGAGAGGGUGAUCGGCCACACUGGAACUGAGACACGGUCCAGACUCCUACGGGAGGCAGCAGUAGGGAAUCUUCCGCAAUGGGCGAAAGCCUGACGGAGCAACGCCGCGUGAGUGAUGAAGGUCUUCGGAUCGUAAAACUCUGUUAUUAGGGAAGAACAUAUGUGUAAGUAACUGUGCACAUCUUGACGGUACCUAAUCAGAAAGCCACGGCUAACUACGUG
rnacentral:rRNA from 1 species